UGCAAAUGCUGGUGAACCUGGGGAUUAAAUAGAGCAAGGAUGAGGAGGCAGCCAGCCAGCGCCAGCCUCUUCUGAUCAUCUCCACAACACCAUCACAUCUACACAGAAGCAAGAGGCCUGGCUGUCAGCCCUUGUCCCAGCUCUCCCUAUAAAUAGCUAGUUGUCUUUAGACAAAUCACUGAACCUUUCUGGGUCUCAAGGAAUUGAAUGGUUCUUGCAGUCCAUGUUAGCAUGUCCUAAUGACUGGGCGGAAUUGAUAGGCUGCAGCAGAUUGGUUCCUACCCUCAAGAGUUCCUCAUCUACAGAUACUGAAGAGGCUCGAAUUUGUGCUUUUUGUAGUGCCAGGUGAAGUCUAUCCUGCUGUCCAGGCACCUACAAGUCUGAAAAUGGCCUCCGGGCCAAGAGUCUCUAGUUUCGACUACAACUUGACUGACAAGCUGCUAUUCUCACGUAAGUUCCCUAAUUUCUCCUCCUCUCGGCUCUCAAGUGACAAACAGUAACACGAAAUAAGAUACUGUGAGGAAAGUCAUCGGCACCUGUGCCUUAGACCCAGCCGCUACUCUAAUGAGGAGAGCCACGGUGUCGCAUGUCCAGGGUGCCUGGAGAUGGUGUAGUACACAUUUGGGUCAACCUAGAUGGACAGAGAAAAAGGCUGUCCCUCAGGGGGCAUGACUCAGAAUAUUCUGAAACUGUCACAAAGCCAGUAGCCUGAUCCCACAAGCCCCAUUCAGACCCUAGCUCCUCCUCAUGAAACCUCUUUGUACCAUCGUCAUGGAGACAGGCACCUGCUCCCGUGGCCCCUCAGCUGCUUGAAAGUUUACCCUACUAGUAGGACUGGUUUACUCCCUCUGCUCAGCACCCUUGUGACUCCAGGGACAGCUGGCUGGAACAGUGAAGUGGGAGAAAAGUGAAGCAGUCGAGAAAGGCAUCAGAGUGGGUAAGAAAGACAGCCGCUCUAAUUGAACCGAUAAGCCGUUGGCAGGAUCGGCGAAACCUUUGGCAGCGUGAGGUGCCUCUGUGUCCUGGCUUCUUAUGGACAAUCGUAUUCUUAUUCAGAAGGACAUUCUUUAACAGAUGUGAGAAAACAACCUCGUGCUCUUAUGGCCAUGCCUCUUCUACCACAAUGACUGGAACCCUUUCAAACCAAACCGUAAGCUAAAAUAAACCAUUCCUUCCUUGAGCUGCCUACUUUCAAAUAUUCCAUUAUAAAAAGGGAACUAAAAAUAUAUAAUAUAUAUUAUAUAUAAUUAUAUAAAUAUAUAAAUUUAUAUAUUAUAUAAAUAUAUAAAUCAUAUAAAUAUAUACUUAUAUAUUAUAUAAAUAUAUAAAUUACAGAAAUGAUAUAUGUAAAAGGUGGCUAAGCAAAUAUUAAAACAUUGUUAUUAAUGACAGCCACCAUGUUGAACAACAUUUUAAAGUUAUUCAAGUCUAAUUGAUGUUACUUAAAGGAUCCCGCUCCCUCUUCUUGGCUACCAAUUUCAGGUAAUUACUACUUUCUGCUUCUGCUUGCCUCUUUCAAUUCUGCAUUUAAGUGAGACCCUGUGAUUUCUGUCUUUCUUGUCCUUACUUAGUGCACUGAAGCAAACAGCUGCUUAAUGCAAAGUACAUGUCCCUGCUUCGUGUACACUACUGGUUGGGUUUGGUUUUGUUGUAGAACCUGGCAUAGACUAAAAGCAUUUGGGAAGGGGAACUCUCAACUGACAAAAUGACUCCACAAGAUUAGCCUAUAGGCAAGUCUGUCAAUCAUUUACUUAAUUAUAGAUUGAUGUGGGAGGUCCCAGCCCAAUUUGGGCGGUGCUACCCCUGGGCAAUUGGUCCUGGAUGACAUAACUAUGAAAGCUAAGUAAUCCACAGAGAGCAGACCAGUAAGCAGAACUCCUCCAUGGCUUCUGCCUUAGGUUUCUGUCUUAGUUCUUUCUUUAGUUCCUGCCCCGACUUUCCUGAAUGGUGCGCUAUAAGCUAUAAGAUACAAUAAACCAUUUCCUCUCCAGGUUGCUUUUGGUCAUGGUGUUUUAUCACAGCAAUAAAACUUUAACCGAGACAAUAUAGCAUUGCAGUGGUAUGAUAUAUUAGAAUGUGUGUGUGUGUGUGUGUGUGUGUACAGAAGUGUUGCCUUAAAUACAUAUACCAUACAUGCAUUUUAUGUAUAUAUGUAUAUAUAUGUAUUGUUUACGUGUAAUGUUAAUUUUUAAUGAAUAAAUUUAAGCAGAUAUAAUUUUUAUAUUCUAAGUGAUUUAUGAUUUGGGAGGUAGAUGCAUAUGCAGAAUAAUAGGACUUAAAACCCAGAUUUGGAUAGAAAUAUGUAAUAAAAGUUCGAUGACUAUUAAGUAUUUUUCUCUGUGUCAUACAUACAUCUCUUGUAUUUUUUUAUGGUUCCUGAUACAUGUAUUGAUUUUUUUAAAAGACUUUUUUGAAGGGUGUAGUGCACAUCUCCUGAAACCAAUUUUAAUUAUUCAACCAUAUUCUUCAAGAAGAACAUGGUUCCAUUGCUGGUGUUGAAUAUGUUUAACCCGAAAUCAAAGUAUGAAUUGAUGGUCAUCUAUAGAAACAUUAACCCAAACCCACUCAGCUCAGAUGUCAUUCUCACUCUUUCCCCCUCAGACUCUCUGAAUGACACAAAACAAGAGCUAAAAACAGCCACAAGCAUCUUGGCAGCCAGGGGAGAAGGCAUCCACAGUCUACCUUAUCAAUGCACAUGGAGACAUUAGCCCCUCUGUAGAGUGUUUGGUUUCUUAGCCUGACUGUAGGGAGGAGAUACACAGGAAUCCAUUCCUCCUUCCAUUUAGUGCUCUCAAAACCAAGAACCUGGUUGGAAAAGUCUAAAUUGUAAUGGGCUUCAUAUACAGUAUCAUCUCCCACUGUUAAGAGGGAGAUAAUUACUCAAGACCAUGACUUUACAAACUUUUUCCGUGUGCAUCCAGUUAACAUUUUAUAUCCAAGUGGUUCUUGUACUUAUUUACUCUAAAUACAUUUAAUAUCCGAAGUAUCAGACAGCAGACAUAUCUUCAUUUCUAUUUUUCAUUUAUUUAGAGAAACAUUUAUAAGCAGUGACUUUAAGCACAAUGAAGAAAGCAACACAAGAAUUAUGAUAUAUUGUACAUGAAACAUCACAGUCACAGUUGGGAGUGAAAUACAUUGUCAAAUAAUUUGUAUUUAAAAUAUCCUCAAGGAGAUACAUUGAAACCAUAACUCUAAUUAAAUAAUUUUCUCCCCAGACUUAUUUAUCUUUCAAAGAUAACUGAAAGUAAAUGAAAAUUUACAAACUAGUAAGAUACUACUACCAAAAGAAUAUUUACUCUUAUGAUAAAAUAAAUGCUAAACAACACACUAUUAAAGUGGAAUAAUAAGCAAUUUAAAUAUUAUUAAAUAAGUACAUUACUAGGUUAUACACCAAGUCAGAAACUCUAACCUAUCAUAUUACCACCAAGUCACUGAUUAUUUGAGUCUGGUUCUUGUAUAACAUUCACAUUCUAGGGCGUGUCUUUGGCUUUGAGGACAUACUGGGAAGUAAAGCAGACACGGUCCUGCCCCCGUGGAGCUUCCAGUCUAGCGGAACAGAGCACUACAAUACCACAUGAACAGCUCUCCGCAGUGGCCUCCACCCAGAGGAAACAACAGCUGAGCCAGGAUCUGCAGUGUAAGGGUUAAUCAGUGGGCCAGGGGCAUAAAGGAGAGGAAAGAAAGCUUCAGAUAGAGAGGGUGAAGGAAAUGUAAAGGUCCUGAGGUUCACAACGUUUUCUAUCAAAGAGGCUCAGAUACUUGGGGACUACAGUGAAGUUUUGCUUGUCAGCGAAGAGAUAAUAGCAAGGUCCGUCUUUUCAAAGCUAACGUCAAUCCAUUUUAACGAGUGAGCCUAUCACCAUCCUGUUUUCUAGCCUUCUAAGGAAUAACCCCCUUUUAAAACUGAAUUGGUGGUAAUAGAUGGUAUCCUUUAAAAAGAGGACCUCAUUUUUUUAUUAAUAAAACGAAAACCUCUGAUUUUAUAAAACCACAAAACCUGGGAACUGCUGUAGAAGAUGUGUAACCAGGGCGUUGCCAAAGGGGGGUGGGGCAUGCAGAAAGGCUACAGAGGACGGGGUCCUUAAAGCAAGGCAGUCCUGAGAGAGCUUGAGAUUUUUUUUAUCCCAAAACGAUGGGAGCGAUUUUCAGCAAGGGAAUGAGCUCUAUUAAAGUCUCGGACAGUUCAUUCUGAAAUGCUGUGGGUGGACUCUGUAGAUAAAGGCCAGGGGACCCAGAUAAGCAGCACUGGAUUGCCUCAGUAAGAGGAAGAAUGCAGUCAGAUGUAGAGGGAGUUUGUGGGGCUGAGCAGGAAAUGGUGGGUGUAGUAAGAGAGAAACCCAGUGGCAUUUGGUGAGUUGGCACGCUGGGUAAGAAAAUGGGAGCGAGGGUGUUGGGACCAAUGCCAAGUCCUUUUCAUUUGGAAACAGAAUUGACUGAGCUAAUGUUGAACUGCAGAAUGUAAGAGUCAAGUGUUUUGUGAAGGAAGGAUUUGAGGACACGGUGAACUACAGAUCUUUGUGUUUAGAGGUCUGUUAGAUCAACGUCGACCAGGAACUGCUCUGAAACAUAGGAGACAAAAGGUUGAACUUCAGCUCUAACGUUAUGGUCCCCAGCAAAACCGAUCACAACCACGAUCAUUGAAUGGAAUUUCCCAGAGAACACAGCGUAUCAGAAAAGGAAGGAGGAUGUGACACUGCCUGCAGGACGUGCCUGCAGGAAGAGGAGCAGCAUACAGAAGCGGAGGCAGAGAGGUUGGGGAGGAGGGCUGAGAGGGAAAAUAGCAGUAUCCGUAUCAUAAAGACCAAGGACAGAACUGGAAAUGGAGUUAGAUGCCACAAGAAUCAACAGGAGGGGAACGAAAGUAGUUUAUAGAAUUUAGCAGUGAGGAAGUUGUUAGGGACGGAGCCAAGAAGCUCAGGAGAAGCUGGAUCACAGGGUGGGUCUGUAUACACAGAGGAGCUCCUCUAGAGCUGGCAUAUGUGCGUGUUUGGGGGUGGGUGAGAAAGGGGUUAUUUACCUUUUACGCCUAGACUCUCAAACAUUGAAAGGGAGAAUCUGAAGACUCGUAACAACUGAGGAAAAUCAAAUACAGCCUAUUACUUAUCUUAGAAGCCUAAACGUCUUUAAGAGUGUACAUGUUCUUCCCGUAGGGACAUGACACAGCUACAAAAUUCUCAGCGGUGUUAAAUACACUUAAGAAUACAAAAUGAUUCCAGUGACUUCUCCAGGGGAAUCACAGUUUUUUUAAAAAAAUACUUUAAGAAUCACAUUUUAAAAUAUAAUUGUAAGGUUAUAUUAGCUUCAGCUAUUGUCCGUAGAGAUCGUAUUCUUUAAAUAACAAGUAUCUUUGCAACGCUGCUGGGAGAGGAAGCUUCUCCAUGGAGGCUGGCUGGCAGAGUCGCUGGAGUCCCAUAGCUCUGCGAAUUUUUAAUCGGCACAGAUGCUUCAGUGAGCAAGGAUUCUCUAAAAUAAACGGGGAGACAAGGAGAAAGUUUUAUUGGCUUCACACAUUAGACGCAGAUUGUCCCAGAGUAGCACGCAGGACAUUUCUGAAAAUACGAACUUUAGCAGCUGAUGACCCUGACCUCGAUUCACAUGUCAAUGAAGUACUCUAGCCUCGCCCCAAAAGCUCCAUGAGGACAGGAAUUCUGUCUGCGUCUGCGUCUGUGUCAGGAAGGAGCGAGUCUGGCUCCUGAUGGGUGUCCAGUUUGUUAAUUAAACAAAUGGAUUGGAUGGACCACAAUGCUAUAUAUCUAGGAAUAACAGGAAGAAAUUUUGGAUAUUUUAUAAAUAACUAAACGUUAAACGACAUACUCCUGAUCAACUUUGGAAGUCCACGAAUAAAUCUAAAGGGUUAAAAAAAAUUAAAACGUAAAGAUUCCUGAGAAAAAUUAGUUGAAGGACUGAUCCAAAAAAAAGACGGAAAGGAGCUCACCGGAUUA